rnacentral:miRNA from 1 species
GACUGACCUGGAACUCACUGUGUAGCCCAGGCUGGUCUCGAACUCACAAUGAUCCUCCUGGCUCAGCCUCCCGAGUGCUGGGAUUACAGGUAUGCGCCACCAUGCCC